AGCAGCCGCGGUAAUUCCAGCUCCAAUGGCGUAUAUUAAAGUUGUUGCAGUUAAAAAGCUCGUAGUUGAAUUUCGGGAUCAAUACGUCGGUCGUGCUUCGGUACGCACUGGCGUCAUUGAUUUCUCCCUUCUGACGAACCAUGAUGUCAUUAACUUGGUGUCAUGGGAAAUCAGGACUGUU
rnacentral:rRNA from 1 species